rnacentral:misc_RNA from 1 species
AAAGUCGUAACAAGGUUUCCGUAGGUGAACCUGCGGAAGGAUCAUUACAGAAACAAUGACCUGCACCUUCUUGUAGCGGACCAUUGGCCCCCACCACCAACGCUCAUUGCCCCGCUUUGUGUUUUAUCACGAGCCUCGAGAAGUGGUGCCCUGGAAUGGCGGUUCUUUGGUCUGCUACGCGCCUCACAAUCUCACACACACGCCGAUGCAUGCAUGGUGUUGGGGUUGGGAUUUUUUACCCACCCCGGCAAGUAUGGAAAUAUCAAUAUAACUUUCAACAACGGAUCUCUUGGCUCUC